rnacentral:rRNA from 1 species
GAUGAACGCUGGCGGCGUGCCUAAUACAUGCCAGUCGAGCGAACAGAUAAGGAGCUUGCUCCUUUGAAGUUAGCGGCGGACGGGUGAGUAACACGUGGGUAACCUACCUAUAAGACUGGGAUAACUUCGGGAAACCGGAGCUAAUACCGGAUAACAUUUAGAACCGCAUGGUUCUAAAGUGAAAGAUGGUUUUGCUAUCACUUAUAGAUGGACCCGCGCCGUAUUAGCUAGUUGGUAAGGUAACGGCUUACCAAGGCGACGAUACGUAGCCGACCUGAGAGGGUGAUCGGCCACACCGGAACUGAGACACGGUCCAGACUCCUACGGGAGGCAGCAGUAGGGAAUCUUCCGCAAUGGGCGAAAGCCUGACGGAGCAACGCCGCGUGAGUGAUGAAGGGUUUCGGCUCGUAAAACUCUGUUAUUAGGGAAGAACAAAUGUGUAAGUAACUGUGCACAUCUUGACGGUACCUAAUCAGAAAGCCACGGCUAACUACGUG